rnacentral:misc_RNA from 1 species
GAAAUGUAGAACUUUCAAAGGAUGGUUACCCAGUUGAUGUGGUUGGAGAGUCAACACCGGAUGUGCUUGUCCAUGAAUUUAUGAAAGGCGAAAAGGAGCUCAUUGAAAAAAUAUUGCAAACUGAAAUUAAUAUAUUUCGUGCAAUUCGAGAUGGUACUGCACUUAUGCAGCACAUGGAGGAUUUCUAUUACAUCACAUUGCUAGAGAAUGUGAGAUCAAAUUACCAGACAGCUGCAAGGCUAGAAAGCAAAGAACAAGAUAGCGUAUCAAUCAUCUAAGACGACCAACAUUUGAAAUGAUAGCAGCCAAAGCUUGUGUACUUCUUUUCUAUACUUAUCACAGAAUAAAUUCUCUGCCACUUCUCAGGCAGGCUUCUCC